GGGGCCGUAGUUCAGUUGGGAGAACGUUUGACUGGCAGUCAAAAGGUCAGGGGUUCGACUCCCCUCGGCUCCA
rnacentral:tRNA from 2 species